rnacentral:rRNA from 1 species
GACAGAGGAUGCAAGCGUUGUCCGGAUUUAUUGGGCGUAAAGAGUUCGUAGGUGGUUUGUUAAGUCUGAUGUUAAAGACUGGGGCUCAACCUCGGAAAUGCAUUGGAUACUGGCAGACUUGAGUGCAGUAGAGGCAAGCGGAAUCCCAGGUGUAGCGGUGAAAUGCGUAGAUAUCUGGAAGAACACCGGUGGCGCAAGCGGCUUGCUGGGCUGUAACUGACACUGAGGAACGAAAGCUAGGGGAGCAAAUGGG